rnacentral:rRNA from 1 species
UACGUAGGGACCAAGCGUUGUUCGGAUUUACUGGGCGUAAAGGGCGCGUAGGCGGCUCAGUAAGGUUGCGGUGAAAGCCCGGGGCUCAACCCCGGGUCGGCCGUGGCAACUGCUGGGCUGGAGCACUGUAGAGGCAGGUGGAAUUCCGGGUGUAGCGGUGAAAUGCGUAGAUAUCCGGAGGAACACCGGUGGCGAAGGCGGCUUCCUGGACCGACACUG